AUGCAGGUGGCCCAGCCAUGAAUAUCUUAAAUAUAAUCUGUAUUUUUCUCUAUUUGGGAAGAAUUUGGGGACAGGAACAAAAGUAUGUCGUCUUAGCACCUAAAGUAUUCCAUAUCGGUGCCUCUGAAAAUGUACUGGUUCAAGUUCAUGGAUAUACAGAGUCAUUUGCUGUGUCUGUUGCUAUUAAAAGUUAUCCUGACCAACUUUUCACCUAUUCUCGAGGCCAAGUAUAUUUAUCUCCAGAAAAUAAAUUUCAAGGCUCUACGAACCUAACUGUGCAACCCAAAGAUUUGUCUGGAGGCCCAAAUGCAGUUUCACGUGUGUAUUUAGAAGUGACAUGUGCUCACUUUUCAAAAUCAACACCCAUUCCUCUGUGCUAUGAUAAUGGAUUCAUCUUCAUCCAGACAGAUAAAUCCGUUUACUUUGCAGAUGAGCCAGUGAAAGUUAGAGCUUAUGCACUGGAUGAAGACCUAAAGCCAUCCCAAAGAGAAGUUACCUUAACUUUUAUAGAUCCAGAAGGAAAUGAAACUUCCAUAGUAGGACAAAGUAUAUUCCCUGGGAUUACCACUUUUCAUGAUUUCCAUAUGCAACCUUCUCCUAAUUAUGGUUUAUGGACAAUUAAAGCUAAAUACAAAGAAGACUUCACAACAACUGGAACAGCACAUUUUCAGAUGGACCCCCAUGGUAACUUCUGUGAAUAAAUGAUAUUUCCAAUGCCUAAUUUUAAGAAUGGUUUACAAAAUUUUCAUAACCUCAAAACUAGUUAGGAACAGAAGAGGUCCAAUAAAGGGAAGCCAACAGAAGCAUCAUGGGAAAUGAUAACCAAGAUUUUUGGUCUGGCUUACCUCAGUUCAAUCACUGAAUUCUACAGUG